UGGGGAAUAUUGGGCAAUGGGCGAAAGCCUGACCCAGCCAUGCCGCGUGAGUGAUGAAGGCCUUAGGGUUGUAAAACUCUUUCGCCGGUGAAGAUAAUGACGGUAACCUGGUAAAGAAACCCCGGCUAACUCCGUGCCAGCAGCCGCGGUAAUACGGAGGGGGUUAGCGUUGUUCGGAAUUACUGGGCGUAAAGCGCACGUAGGCGGACCAGUCAGUCAGAGGUGAAAUCCCGGGGCUCAACCUCGGAACUGCCUUUGAUACUGCUGGUCUCGAGUUCGAGAGAGGUGAGUGGAAUCCCGAGUGUAGAGGUGAAAUUCGUAGAUAUUCGGAGGAACACCAGUGGCGAAGGCGGCUCACUGGCUCGAUACUGACGCUGAGGUGCGAAAGCGUGGGGAGCAAACAGGAUUAGAUACCCCUGUAGUCC
rnacentral:rRNA from 1 species